GCCGGGGUGGCAGAGUGGAAAAACAUAGGCCCACAGAUGCGCCGGCCUCGAGAGCCGGUGGCUCUUUGAGCCUCAUGGGUUCAAAUCCCAUCCCCGGCGCCA
rnacentral:tRNA from 1 species